AGCGAACGCUGGCGGCAGGCCUAACACAUGCAAGUCGAACGAACCUUUCGGGGUUAGUGGCGGACGGGUGAGUAACACGUGGGAACGUGCCUUUAGGUUCGGAAUAACUCAGGGAAACUUGUGCUAAUACCGAAUGUGCCCUUCGGGGGAAAGAUUUAUCGCCUUUAGAGCGGCCCGCGUCUGAUUAGCUAGUUGGUUGAGGUAAUGGCUCACCAAGGCGACGAUCAGUAGCUGGUCUGAGAGGAUGAUCAGCCACAUUGGGACUGAGACACGGCCCAAACUCCUACGGGAGGCAGCCGUGGGGAAUCUUGCGCAAUGGGCGAAAGCCUGACGCAGCCAUGCCGCGUGAAUGAUGAAGGUCUUAGGAUUGUAAAAUUCUUUCACCGGGGACGAUAAUGACGGUACCCGGAGAAGAAGCCCCGGCUAACUUCGUG
rnacentral:rRNA from 1 species